GAUGAACGCUGGCGGCGUGCCUAAUACAUGCAAGUCGAGCGAACGGACGAGAAGCUUGCUUCUCUGAUGUUAGCGGCGGACGGGUGAGUAACACGUGGAUAACCUACCUAUAAGACUGGGAUAACUUCGGGAAACCGGAGCUAAUACCGGAUAAUAUUUUGAACCGCAUGGUUCAAAAGUGAAAGACGGUCUGGCUGUCACUUAUAGAUGGAUCCGCGCUGCAUUAGCUAGUUGGUAAGGUAACGGCUUACCAAGGCAACGAUGCAUAGCCGACCUGAGAGGGUGAUCGGCCACACUGGAACUGAGACACGGUCCAGACUCCUACGGGAGGCAGCAGUAGGGAAUCUUCCGCAAUGGGCGAAAGCCUGACGGAGCAACGCCGCGUGAGUGAUGAAGGUCUUCGGAUCGUAAAGCUCUGUUAUUAGGGAAGAACAUAUGUGUAAGUAACUGUGCACAUCUUGACGGUACCUAAUCAGAAAGCCACGGCUAACUACGUG
rnacentral:rRNA from 1 species